rnacentral:rRNA from 1 species
CUGUCCUCAAGGAAGAUAAUGACGGUACUUGAGGAGGAAGCCCCGGCUAACUACGUGCCAGCAGCCGCGGUAAUACGUAGGGGGCUAGCGUUAUCCGGACUUACUGGGCGUAAAGGGUGCGUAGGCGGUCUUUCAAGUCAGGAGUGAAAGGCUACGGCUCAACCGUAGUAAGCUCUUGAAACUGGGAGACUUGAGUGCAGGAGAGGAGAGUGGAAUUCCUAGUGUAGCGGUGAAAUGCGUAGAUAUUAGGAGGAACACCAGUUGCGAAGG